UCCCAUAUUGUCUAGGGGUUAGGAUACAUGGCUCUCAACCAGGAGGCCCGGGUUCAAUUCCCGGUAUAGGAA
rnacentral:tRNA from 1 species